UACGUAGGGUGCAAGCGUUGUCCGGAAUUAUUGGGCGUAAAGAGCUCGUAGGCGGUCUGUCGCGUCUGCUGUGAAAACUCAGGGCUUAACCCUGAGCUUGCAGUGGGUACGGGCAGACUAGAGUGCGGUAGGGGAGACUGGAAUUCCCGGUGUAGCGGUGAAAUGCGUAGAGAUCGGGAGGAACACCAGCGGCGAAGGCGGCAAACUGGAUAGGCACUGACACUCAACAACGAAAGCGUGGGGAGCAAACAGG
rnacentral:rRNA from 1 species